rnacentral:rRNA from 1 species
AUUGAACGCUGGCGGCAUGCUUUAUACAUGCAAGUCGUGCGGCAGCGCGGGGGCAACUCUGGCGGCGAGCGGCGAACGGGUGAGUAAUACAUAGGAACGUAUCCUGAAAUGGGGGAUAGCUCGGCGAAAGCCGGAUUAAUACCGCAUACGCUCCACGGAGGAAAGCAGGGGAUCGCAAGACCUUGCGUUUCUGGAGCGGCCUAUGUCUGAUUAGCAGUUGGCGGGGUAAUAGCCCACCAAGGCGACGAUCAGUAGCUGGUCUGAGAGGAUGAUCAGCCACACUGGGACUGAGACACGGCCCAGACUCCUACGGGAGGCAGCAGUAGGGAAUUUUGGACAAUGGGGCAACCCUGAUCCAGCCAUGCCGCGUGAGUGAAGAAGGCCUCGG